AGGUAUAAGCCCAGAAAUCAAGGAAAAGUUUGUGAAAUAUUGCCAAAAACAUGGAAUUACUAAGGAAAACAUAAUUGACUUAACCAAAGUUGAUCACUGUCUCCAGGCCCAGGAUGGGGGAAAGGAGUAAGCCUCCAGAGCUGAGUGAAUAUUUCCUGACCUGGGCUCCAGCAUCUUCCCUUCCUGGUCCCCAUGUCCUCGUGUGACAAGUUCUAUAAUCUGAUUUCCAUACAGUCACACAUCCCUGCAUCUUCAGAAUCUUCCCUGAUUGCCUAAGGAGAUGCAUCAACUCACCAAGAAUCUGAAGUUUUCUGGAUUUCUGACUCUCUUUGCCAUACCCAGGGGAACCGUUCCCCACAUGGUCAAUAAAUGACUAACCCU